rnacentral:rRNA from 1 species
UACGAAGGGGGCUAGCGUUGCUCGGAAUCACUGGGCGUAAAGCGCACGUAGGCGGCUUCUUAAGUCAGGGGUGAAAUCCCGGAGCUCAACUCCGGAACUGCCUUCAAAACUGGCGACCUGGACCUAAGUAGAGGCAAGUGGAAUUGCGAGUGUAGAGGUGAAAUUCGUAGAUAUUCGCAGGAACACCAGUGGCGAAGGCGACUUGCUGGACUUAUGGUGACGCUGAGACGCGAAAGCGUGGGGAGCAAACAGG